rnacentral:rRNA from 1 species
UACGGAGGGUGCAAGCGUUGUCCGGAAUCACUGGGCAUAAAGGGCGCGUAGGCGGCUUCACAAGUCAGGGGUGAAAUCCGGCAGCUUAACUGUCGCAGUGCCUUUGAUACUGUGAAGCUCGAGGGAGGUAGGGGUCUGUGGAACUUCCGGUGGAGCGGUGAAAUGCGUUGAUAUCGGAAGGAACGCCGGUGGCGAAAGCGACGGACUGGAUCUCUUCUGACGCUGAGGCGCGAAAGCCAGGGGAGCAAACGGG